GAGUUUGAUCAUGGCUCAGAGCGAACGCUGGCGGCAGGCCUAACACAUGCAAGUCGAGCGCCGUAGCAAUACGGAGCGGCAGACGGGAGAGUAACACGUGGGAACGUACCCUUCAGUUCGGAACAACCCAGGGAAACUUGGGCUAAUACCGGAUACGUCCGUAAGGAGAAAGAUUUAUCGCUGAAGGAUCGGCCCGCGUCUGAUUAGCUAGUUGGUGGGGUAAUGGCUCGCCAAGGCGACGAUCAGUAGCUGGUCUGAGAGGAUGAUCAGCCUCACUGGGACUGAGACACGGCCCAGACUCCUACGGGAGGCAGCAGUGGGAAUAUUGGACAAUGGGCGCAAGCCUGAUCCAGCCAUGCCGCGUGGGUGAUGAAGGCCCUAGGGUUGUAAAGCCCUUUCGACGGGAAGAUAAUGACGGUACCCGUAGAAGAAGCCCCGG
rnacentral:rRNA from 1 species